GAUGAACGCUGGCGGCGUGCCUAAUACAUGCAAGUCGAGCGAACGGACGAGAAGCUUGCUUCUCUGAUGUUAGCGGCGGACGGGUGAGUAACACGUGGAUAACCUACCUAUAAGACUGGGAUAACUUCGGGAAACCGGAGCUAAUACCGGAUAAUAUUUUGAACCGCAUGGUUCAAAAGUGAAAGACGGUCUUGCUGUCACUUAUAGAUGGAUCCGCGCUGCAUUAGCUAGUUGGCAAGGUAACGGCUUACCAAGGCAACGAUGCAUAGCCGACCGGAGAGGGUGAUCGGCCACACUGGAACUGAGACACGGUCCAGACUCCUACGGGAGGCAGCAGUAGGGAAUCUUCCGCAAUGGGCGAAAGCCUGACGGAGCAACGCCGCGUGAGUGAUGAAGGUCUUCGGAUCGUAAAACUCUGUUAUUAGGGAAGAACAUAUGUGUAAGUAACUGUGCACAUCUUGACGGUACCUAAUCAGAAAGCCACGGCUAACUACGUG
rnacentral:rRNA from 1 species